CUGCUCUGCACAAGUGCAACAUGGCUGGAAAGCCUGCUGUUGUUACUCAUGUUGUGGACAGUAUGACGGACAACCUAAGGCCUGCUCGUGCGGAGGCAACUGAUGUGGCAAACGCGGUGCUGGACGGUUAGUUUUUGCCUCUUGCAGAUAUCUUAUACUUUGGUGAUCCUGUAAGUUUUUGCCUCUUGCAGAAUCCAAUGAAAGUUCUGAUUCCGAAAGCUCUGACUCUGAGAAGCCAGCUACUGAAGUGAAGAAUUCUGCGGGUUGCUACUGCACAAAAGAAAAACCAGGAAUUGGACGGCUCUGACAGUGAUUCUGAUGAUUCAUCAGAUGAGGAUAUGGCCACUAAAAAAUCAGUAGCCAAGAAAGUGGUAGAAUCCAGUGAAAGUUCUGAUUCUGACUCCGAGGAGGAUACCACUGCUAAACCAGUUAAGAAGAAUAAAGAAUCUAGUGAUAGCUCAGAUCCUGACUCAGAUUCAGAUUCUGAAGAAGCAAGUUCUCUGUUGUACUUGUUUACUCUUGGAUACCACUGCUAAAACAGUUUCUGUAAAGAAAGAAGAAUCUAGUGGUAGCUCAGAUAAUGACUCGGAUUCCGAUUCUGAUGAACCAGCAAAAUCUACUAUUCCUGCUAAGAGGCUUCUGACAACAGAGAAAAAGAGUGAACAUUCCAAGGAUGAUUCUGAUGAUAGUUCUGAUGAGAGUGAUGAAGAGCCUGCACUAAAGAAGCCUAAGGAAUUUUUGGUGUUUGCUUUUUCAUCUGAAGAUUUUGGUCUCUAAGGUUGCCAAGAAAGAAAGCAGUGGUGAUGAUGACAGUUCUGAAGAGAGCUCCAGCAGUGAUGAUGAAAACGAUCAAUCGGUGUCAAUGUGAAAGUCCAAGCAGAACGAAGAACGAAGAUCUGAAUCACCCUCGCCCCUCUAGAGAAAUCAGUUUACUCAUUCAAGUUCUGGAAAUUCUUUAUAGCUUUCUGAGUUUACUUCGGUCU